CCAAAAUAAUGUCUACAUGAAAUCACAAACAAUUGUUCAAUCCAUUGAAAGAAAUUUGUUGGGUAGACAAAGCAGUUACUGACUGAAUUUGACAUCUUAGGCUCAAAAAAAAUUUUUUUUGGUUAAUGUUGCAUGGACAAUCCUUUCCUCCUAGCUUUUAGUAGCUGCCUUCUUUUCUUUCUUUAUGAACUUUUGGAGAAUAGCCACUCUUAACAAUUUUGAAUAUAAUAAACUACUUGUUAUAUAAAAUAGAAAAUAUUUAUUCUUUAUGAUAAUUCAUGAGCCAUUUAUGUAGUCUAUAGCUUUUUCCUCUUGGCAGACAUUGAUUUUUGUUUGGCAUGGUGCAUGGACAAAAUAACUCUUCAUUUGAAAGGAGAGAAGUAACACCUUUUGCUUGCUUUACAACCUCAUUGUGAACAAUUGGCUUCUUUUUUCCUGUUGUAGUUUACAAUGCCUUGAAAUGUUAUGCUAAUUAAUUUCUAUUGAGCAGAAUUAUAGAGGGAAUAUAAUACGAUUAUGUUUUUAUAGGGCCUUCAAAAAGGCUAUUUUUCAUGUUUUAGACUUAUUAUUAUUAUUAUUUUGUUAGACUGAAAUGUAUCCCUUCCUGUUGGAUUGGAACUCUCCAUGAGAAGUUGCUUUUGACUCAUUAAAACAGAAACCGUGUGCCCAUGGUUUCAUUUCUAUCUUUGACAAAUUGCCUCUGAAAUGUUUUGCAGCAAUAGGCUAAAUACAAUUUUCAACUUUGCAAGGGAUAUAAGUUCCAGUAGUGGUGACAUGUUCGUCUUAUUUCUGUCAAGAUGAGUUUACCUCAAAUAAGUAAGCCUUAUGGAAUCAGGCCUAGUGCACAUAUAGAUUCUUCCCAAUGAACUGCCCUAUGUAGGAUGUCUAACAACUGAAAUUUCUCUGAUAGUUGGGGUUUCUAGAUGGUAGUAAUCUGAAAAAAUGAUGGUCUGAGUCCUUUAUUUGUUAGCAUUGAAACAUUAAGUGGAAGGAGUGGGAAUAAUUAUGUUAAAUUAAUAUGAACUUCAGGGGUGAAGAAACUGAGGUCUGUGUUUAAUAUCAGGUAACUUCCACUCAUGUUUUCUUGGGAUUUGGCAUCCUUCAAGCAAAUUGCAGGUUGAGAAAUUGAAAAUGAAUGUACUUAAUAUGUAGAGCUAUUGCUUACAUGUACAUAUAAAUGACGAAUGCCGGAGACCAUUAAGUAAUUAUUCCUCAUUUUUUAACUGGUCAAGAAACCAGGGAUAUUCUGGGAAGUAAUAUGUUCAUGUAUAUAUACACAUAAUUGUAUAAAUAUAGUCACAUAUAUAUGUACACACACAUAUAUAUAUAUACACACAUAUACGUGUGUAUAUGGCCUCCUCUGCCUGGGUUUUGGAUCUACUCUAUUGUAGACCUCUAGAAUAUUGACAACCAAUCUUUGGACAAUUGUAGUUCUUCAUCAUUGGAUUUUGAGCUAUCCUCCUUUACCCCUUCAAAAAUCCUGCAUUGCAUAUGUUUGAACAAAUCCAAUUAAACAAUUUUAUUUUAAGAAUUUGCAAUGGUCUUUGAGAGAAAAUUGGAGACAUUUCAAGUAGGUGAGAUCAAGGGAUACAGUGGAAAGAGUGCUAGAUUUGGAGUCUGAGGCCUUGGGUUUAUGUAUCAGCUUUGCUAUUUACUACCUGGACAAUCGUUGGCCAGUCAUAGCAUCAUAAAUUGAAGAUCAAAGGGGACUUGGAACAAUUUUCUCAUUCUAUAGAUGAUAAAAUUGAGACCCAGAGUAGUAAGGUAGCAUGGUCAGGGAUAAAUAGAUAGUAAGCAGCAGGGCUCUGACUCUAGGUUGAAUCCUUUCUUCAAUUAUACCACAUUCCCUCCUACGACUCAGUUUCUUCAUCUAUAAGAUGGGGAAGUGAUUUUGGUUGGCCCAUUGAUCAUAAAGUCCUUUCUACUUAUAAAUCUAAGAUCUUACAGUGACUUGUUUAAAGCUAAAGAAACAAAGAUGAUAUUUUUCUGGAGUGUGAGGCAGUUAAAUAGUCAUCAACUGUUCAGUGGACUGUGGGAAUGGCAAAAGAGAGAAGGCUUGGAUAUUUGGUUAGAAGGAAACUUGGGGUUUCUUUAUUGUAGUUUAUAAUAAAAAAUGUAUUUCUCAGUCUGAGAGGGGGAUGAUUUAGAAUAAGUCUUCUGUGAGUUCUUCCUAUUCUCCAUUUUUAGUUCCAGAUGAUUUAGAGUAGGGGUUCUUAACCAUUUUUGUGUGUGUCGGGGACCCCUUUGGCAAUAUGGUGAAACCUGUGGAGUUUCUCUAAUGAAAAUGUUUUUAAAUGUAUAAAAUAAAAUACAUAGGAUUUCAAAGAAAACAAAUUAUAUUCAAAAGUUAUGCAAAUAUCUAUUUUUAAAAAAUCAUGGACCCCAGGUUGAGUAUGUCUUUAAUGUUAUUGAAGAUAUUUGUAAUCCUCUGAUCUGAACAAAACUGAUACUAAAUCCAAAUAGAUUAUAUGGAGACUGGAUCUUGUAAAAAAUCUCAACCUUCAUCUUCUAGCACCUCUCUUUAAGAAAACUUAUUUUUGACUCCAUAGAUAAUGAUUGAUGGAUUCUAAGGUCUCUUCCAGCUUUAAGUCAACAAUUCUAUGAUAUAUCUCAUAAUGAUAUUGACUGGUAUGUGUAUUUUGUGUUUUAUGAUUCAAUGUGUUUAUAUAUCCUUAAAUUGGACAGGUUUUAAUUUUCAGAAAAUUUGAGAAGGCAAAACCCCAACAAUUUCUUAAUUAAUUGGAAUCCCUCUUCCUGUGAUACCUAAGGAGUAACUUGGGCAGACAUCUGUACAAUCUCCUUUUACAAGUUUCAUGAAAGAACACAUUGCUAAUCAUGGACUUUUAAUUAGAGGAACCCAUGUCCUAUUGUUUCUUGACCUACACAAGAUGAGUUAAUUUUAGCACUAUUAUUACUACUAGUUUAUAAAGCCAUAUCUAAACUUGUACACUUGACUGUAAAAUAGAUUUGAAUUGUGUAUUAAGUUGAUCACUAUGUAUAUAAAUCUGUGAAAAAUCUGUAUAUUUGGUCUCAAUGCUCCAUGUAUCUGAUGUGUAA
ensembl:lncRNA